rnacentral:misc_RNA from 1 species
AGCAGCCGCGGUAAUUCCAGCUCCAAUAGCGUAUAUUAAAGUUGUUGCAGUUAAAAAGCUCGUAGUUGAAUUUCGGGAUCAAGGAAUCGGUCAUGCCUCGGUAUGUACUGGUUUUAUUGGUUCUCACCUUCUAAAGAACCAUGAUGUCAUUCAUUUGAUGUUAUGGGGAAUUAGGACUGUUACCUUGAAAAAAUUUAGAGUGUUUAAAGCAGGCUUACGCUUGAAUACAUUAGCAUGGAAUAAUGAAAUAGGACAUCAGAUUCUAUUUUGUUGGUUUCUAGGAUCGAUGUAAUGAUUAAUAGGGAUAGUUGGGGGCAUUAGUAUUCAAUUGUCAGAGGUGAAAUUCUUGGAUUUAUUGAAGACUAACUACUGCGAAAGCAUUUGCCAAGGAUGUUUUCAUUAAUCAAGAACGAAAGUUAGGGGAUCGAAGACGAUCAGAUACCGUCGUAGUCUUAACCAUAAACUAUGCCGACUAGGGAUCGGAUGAUGUUUAUUUUUU